rnacentral:rRNA from 1 species
UCCUACGGGAGGCAGCAGUGGGGAAUAUUGGGCAAUGGGCGCAAGCCUGACCCAGCAACGCCGCGUGAAGGAAGAAGGCUUUCGGGUUGUAAACUUCUUUUAAGUGGGAAGAGUAGAAGACGGUACCACUUGAAUAAGCCACGGCUAACUACGUGCCAGCAGCCGCGGUAAUACGUAGGUGGCAAGCGUUGUCCGGAUUUACUGGGUGUAAAGGGCGUGCAGCCGGGCAUGCAAGUCAGAUGUGAAAUCUCAGGGCUUAACCCUGAAACUGCAUUUGAAACUGUAUGUCUUGAGUGCCGGAGAGGUAAUCGGAAUUCCUUGUGUAGCGGUGAAAUGCGUAGAUAUAAGGAAGAACACCAGUGGCGAAGGCGGAUUACUGGACGGUAACUGACGGUGAGGCGCGAAAGCGUGGGGAGCGAACAGGAUUAGAUACCCUGGUAGUCCACGCUGUAAACGAUGGAUACUAGGUGUGCGGGGACUGACCCCCUGCGUGCCGCAGUUAACACAAUAAGUAUCCCACCUGGGGAGUACGAUCGCAAGGUUGAAACUCAAAGGAAUUGACGGGGGCCCGCACAAGCGGUGGAUUAUGUGGUUUAAUUCGAAGCAACGCGAAGAACCUUACCAGGUCUUGACAUCCUGCUAACGAAGUAGAGAUACAUUAGGUGCCCUUCGGGGAAAGCAGAGACAGGUGGUGCAUGGUUGUCGUCAGCUCGUGUCGUGAGAUGUUGGGUUAAGUCCCGCAACGAGCGCAACCC